rnacentral:rRNA from 1 species
UACGUAGGGUGCAGGCGUUAAUCGGAAUUACUGGGCGUAAAGCGUGCGCAGGCGGUUUGCUAAGACAGGUGUGAAAUCCCCGGGCUUAACCUGGGAACUGCGCUUGUAACUGGCAAGCUUGAGUGUGGCAGAGGGGGGUGGAAUUCCACGUGUAGCAGUGAAAUGCGUAGAGAUGUGGAGGAACACCGAUGGCGAAGGCAGCCCCCCUGGGCUAACACUGACGCUCAUGCACGAAAGCGUGGGGAGCAAACAGG